rnacentral:pre_miRNA from 14 species
UCUUUGGAGAUGAGGGUGGUCGCCAAUCCCAGACGAGGCUCCAAAUGAAAGACCCCCGGAGCAGGGAGACACUCAAGUCUCAGGAUGACGCAACCCCCCCCAAUAACUAACGUAAGG